GACGGAGGAUGCAAGUGUUAUCCGGAAUCACUGGGCGUAAAGCGUCUGUAGGUGGUUCAAUAAGUCAACUGUUAAAUCUUGAGGCUCAACUUCAAAAUCGCAGUCGAAACUAUUGGACUCGAGUAUAGUAGGGGUAAAGGGAAUUUCCAGUGGAGCGGUGAAAUGCGUAGAGAUACGGAAAGAACACCAACGGCGAAAGCACUCUGCUGGGCCGACACUGACACUGAGAGACGAAAGCUAGGGGAGCGAAUGGG
rnacentral:rRNA from 1 species